UACGGAGGAUGCGAGCGUUAUCCUGAUUUAUUGGGUUUAAAGGGUGCGUAGGCGGACUGUCAAGUCAGCGGUAAAAUUGAGAGGCUCAACCUCUUCCCGCCGUUGAAACUGGUGGUCUUGAGUGGAUGAGAAGUACGCGGAAUGCGUGGUGUAGCGGUGAAAUGCAUAGAUAUCACGCAGAACUCCGAUUGCGAAGGCAGCGUACCGGCAUCCAACUGACGCUGAGGCACGAAAGCGUGGGGAUCAAACAGG
rnacentral:rRNA from 1 species